rnacentral:lncRNA from 1 species
GAAAAUGAUAUUAUAAGUUGAAGACUUCACCUUAUCAACAUGCGUUAAUAAUUUUUUAUAAGAUUUAAGUUAAAUUUAAGAACCUUAUACAAAGAAUACAGACACAUAUCAUCAUCAGCUUACUAUUGCAGUACUAACAGUAACAUAAGAGUGAUGCAAGUAAAUAAUUAACAUUAGUAUUUUCAUAAGAUUAAUUUCAAUAUUACAAAUUACAAUUUCUCCCAUCAUUACAAUAACGAAGUUGGUAUUUCUAGGGCUUCACCCGAUCAUUUUUGGGAGUAAACCCAACCAAAAAGAACAGUUAAACAAGAGUUUAUGUACUCAUUUUGUAACUGCUGUAAGGACUUAAUUUGUAGAAUUAGAAUUUCUACAAAAAAUCCACACUAUUGGUUAAUUUUGUGUGCAUGGAUACAUGGUUUGUCCAAUAUUUCACGUAUGAAUUGGAUCUGGACUUGAUACAACAGGAGGACCGCGUGGAAGCUUGAGCAACAGUUGUUGGUCCUGUAAUGGCCUGCAGGCUUCUCCAAAUUGAGAAGACACAACCAGAAAGACCAAUAUCAGAAGCAGAACCAUGAAGAGGAUCCUUCUGUAAAACAAAGACAUGUCUGUCUGUAAUGAUAUUGAAGUUAUCUCUGUAUGUAUUUUUGGUGUCUUGAAAUGGUGAAACAGAUAAAUGACUGGUAGAGAAAUGAGAUAUUUUGAUAUGAAUGUUGUGGA